rnacentral:rRNA from 1 species
UACGGAGGAUGCAAGCGUUAUCCGGAUUCAUUGGGUUUAAAGGGUGCGUAGGCGGAUUAAUAAGUCAGUGGUGAAAUCUUGCGGCUCAACCGUAACAUUGCCAUUGAUACUGUUAGUCUUGAAUGCAGUUGAGGUAGGCGGAAUGUGUAAUGUAGCGGUGAAAUGCUUAGAUAUUACACAGAACACCGAUUGCGAAGGCAGCUUGCUAAACUGUGAUUGACGCUGAUGCACGAAAGCGUGGGGAUCAAACAGG